UAAAGAGUGAGCUCAUGGGUUUAAACAAAAUAUGUUUUAAUCGACAAAUCUGAGGAUAAAAAUAAAAGAACAAAUAAAAAAAAUGACAAAAUCCAAGGCACGCAAGAGGCGGGAGCGGCAGACGUAGGUCGUCAGGAGGGUAGUAAAGACCCGUUCAGCCAUCGUAAAUUCGUUCAUCGAUUCAUUUUAUUUACAAUGUUUUAGCAGCUAUUGUCAGCCAUUGAAUAUGGGGUUUAUCGAUCAACUGUCCAGCAGUUGCUACGUUUGAUUCAUUGGCGAUUACAUAUUGCAUAAAUGAUGAGGACGACGGUGUGGUGCCGCAGUUGAGGUGGAGGGAAUGGGGAUUUGAUGAAAUUGAGGGAAUCGGUCGGACGGUUGUGCUGGACUAAAGUGGUCUUCACUUUCUGUGGGAUGUUGGCCGUUGUUUAUCUCAAAUGAGUCCGCCCCUUCUUCAUAUAAGUGGCGUUCUAAUAUGAUGACUGGUUGAUGCAUCACAUGAUCGACACUCCCUCAGCAUCACAAAUGAUCUCCAAUGUGGCUGGUUUCUGUGCCGCUAUGAUUGCUGGUGUACGCAAAAACCCGGCUCAACGCAUUACAAAGGGAAGAGAGGUAUUACUGCAGUAACCUUUUGAUUUGAUUAUUUGUCUGGGUCGAGGCAGGGAAUCAUAUGCCAACGAAGCAAGGUCAGAUUUUCACAUUUAAACACGAUGUAUGGCUGGACAAGGAUUUUUCUUUUGUUAACCCACUUCAACUAGUAUAGAUCAGUGGUAUAAUUUAUAUUAUGGCACUGAAACACAACGUGGUAUGAAAUGGAGAGAAAGAGAGAUGGUUGAUUUACAUUUAUAUAAAAAAAAGUGACUUCAAUUUUUGUUUGUUCUAUUAUAGUUUGUCUUUGCUCUC